rnacentral:lncRNA from 1 species
GUAAAGAAAGUGGCAAAUUUUUCGUACAUAUUCAUGAAGAUUUUGAAAAUAGAAAAAAGAAGAUGUAGUAUGAUUGCAAUUGCCAAUGAGACAACUCUUCGCAAGAGACCGAGUAACACUAUAGGUCACCGUACGGCUUUCAAGAUACACAACAUCACAAUAGAUCUCCAGAUACUACUAGCACCAACAAAGAAAGAGACAUACGAGAUAACAACGAAAAUAAUAUGAAAAUAUUUAUAGAGUUCAGGGCGAUUCCAAGAAACACUAAGCCCUGAAGAAUUCCUAUUCUGCGCCUAAACAAUUUAACCAAAGUAUACAAUGUGAUAAUACCCACAGAAACUACAGUACCAAGUAAAAACAAGAAAGCACAUAGAGACCAGAUGUGUCAAACUAAAUAUUGACCUUAUGAUAAGGAGCGUGAUUCAACAAUGAACAAAUCAUAAAGCCCAUGCCGCAUAGUCAGCUAUAAACGGCCG